GACGAACCGUGCGAACGUUAUUCGGAAUCACUGGGCUUAAAGCGCGUGUAGGCGGGAGGGCACGUCCGUCGCUGAAAUCCCCCGGCUCAACCGGGGAACGGGCGCGGAUACGACCUUCCUGGAGGGGCGUAGGGGGACCUGGAACUUCCGGUGGAGCGGUGAAAUGCGUUGAGAUCGGAAGGAACGCCCGCGGCGAAAGCGAGGUCCUGGACGCCUACUGACGCUGAGACGCGAAAGCCAGGGGAGCGAAUGGG
rnacentral:rRNA from 1 species